rnacentral:rRNA from 1 species
AGUGAGCGGCGACGGGUGAGUAACACGUGGGCAACCUGCCCAGAAGCAGGGGAUAACACUUGGAAACAGGUGCUAAUACCGUAUAACAACAAAAACCGCAUGGUUUUGUUUGAAAGGUGGCUUCGGCUAUCACUUCUGGAUGGUUCCGCGGCGCAUUAGCUAGUUGGUGAGGUAAAGGCCCACCAAGGCAAUGAUGCGUAGCCGACCUGAGAGGGUAAUCGGCCACAUUGGGACUGAGACACGGCCCAGACUCC